rnacentral:rRNA from 1 species
CAGCAGCCGCGGUAAUACGAAGGGUGCAAGCGUUAAUCGGAAUUACUGGGCGUAAAGCGUGCGUAGGCGGUUUCUUAAGUCUGCUGUGAAAUCCCCGGGCUCAACCUGGGAAUGGCAGUGGAUACUGGGAGGCUAGAGUGUGUCAGAGGAUGGUGGAAUUCCCGGUGUAGCGGUGAAAUGCGUAGAGAUCGGGAGGAACAUCAGUGGCGAAGGCGGCCAUCUGGGACAACACUGACGCUGAGGCACGAAAGCGUGGGGAGCAAACAGGAUUAGAUACCCCUGUAGUCCCUGUCUCUUAUAC